rnacentral:rRNA from 1 species
CCUACGGGUGGCUGCAGUGGGGAAUAUUGGACAAUGGGCGAAAGCCUGAUCCAGCCAUGCCGCGUGAAUGAUGAAGGCCUUAGGGUUGUAAAGUUCUUUUAUCCGGGAAGAUGAUGACGGUACCGGAAGAAUAAGCCACGGCAAACUUCGUGCCAGCAGCCGCGGUAAUACGAAGGUGGCUAGCGUUGUUCGGAAUCACUGGGCGUAAAGCGCGCGUAGGCGGCUUUGCAAGUCAGGGGUGAAAUCCUAAGGCUCAACCUUAGAAUUGCCUUUGA